AGAGUCGCCAAAAAUAUUUAAAGAGGAGUAGAAAAAGAGAAGGAGUGUAUGUGUACGAGGAUGUUGCCAACUUGCAUGGGACUCUCUCUCUCUCUGUGUCAGUGUAUCUUCUUUAGUGUUUGCAACUGUCAAAUGCUGAGUUUUUAAAAAUAUAUAAGUAACAACUUUGAAAUAAUAUCGUAUAAGGCCAUAAAGUAUAUAAAGAAACAAAAGUUUUGGAUUUUCAGGGAAGGACUCGGUUCCUGCGAAUUCUCGGGGAAGGACUUCCGGCCAAUUAUAAAUACCUUCUUUUUCUUCUCUCCACGAUGCAACCACCCCUUCUUCCUGUUUGUUUCUCUUCUAAGUUUCUUGCUUUCUGCAUUUCUCUUUGCUUUUUCCAAAUUAUUGCUGCUAGUUUUCUCGAUUCAGGAUGACUAUUCUCAUUGAGCAACCACAAUUUGGAGUUGAGGUAGAGGAAAAGAAGAUCCCUGGUGAUGAGAAAGAACUGGUGUUAAAUGGUGGAUUUGUUGUGCCACAUACCAACUCUUUUGGCCAAACAUUUAGGGAUUAUGAUGCUGAAGGUGAAAGGCAACCAGGUGUGGAAAAUUUUUACAAGAUCAAUCACAUCAACCAAACCUAUGACUUUGUGAAGAGGAUGAGGGAAGAGUAUGGGAAACUGAAUAGGGUGGAAAUGAGCAUAUGGGAGUGCUGUGAACUUCUUAAUGAUGUUGUGGAUGAGAGUGAUCCUGACUUGGAUGAACCUCAAAUUAUGCAUUUAUUGCAAACUGCUGAAGCCCUUAGAAAGGAUUAUCCCAAUGAAGAUUGGUUGCACCUUACUGGCCUUAUUCAUGAUCUUGGAAAGGUGCUUCUUCUUCCCAUUUUUGGCGAUCUUCCUCAGUGGGCCGUUGUAGGUGACACUUAUCCUGUUGGAUGUGCUUUCCACGAAUCAAUUGUCCACCACAAGUACUUCAAGGAAAAUCCUGACUAUAAUAAUCCUGCUUACAACAACAAAUAUGGAGCUUACUCUGAAGGGUGCGGAUUAAACAAUGUUAUGAUGUCAUGGGGACAUGAUGAUUACAUGUAUCUGGUAAUUUUGUGGCCAAGAGGAAUAAGACAACUCUGCCUUCAGCAGCUCUGUUCAUCAUCAGAUACCAUUCAUUCUAUGCAUUGCAUAGGUCAGGAGCAUACAAGCACUUGAUGCAUGAAGAGGAUAUUGAAAAUCUGAAGUGGCUGGAAAUAUUCAACAAGUAUGAUUUAUACAGUAAGAGCAAAGUUCGAAUUGAUGUGGAAAAGGUCAAGCCAUACUAUCUUUCCCUUAUUGAAAAGUACUUCCCCGCAAAGCUAAAAUGGUGAACCUUGAAGGGUUUGAAGAUCAGGAUGCUUAAUUACUAGCUUGCAGAGAUUAGAUGAAAAGAUGGUCCUUCAGGAAGCUGCUACAGUUUUUUCCUUGGCAAAAUCUCCCACAAAUAAUAGCAGUGAUUACAGCUUUGUGUAUCUAGUUGUGGCUUGAGUGUGAUAAAUUCACUGUUAGCUUGUUUAUACUAAUAAAGCUGAUUAAGUUCUUACAA